AACGAACGCUGGCGGCGUGCCUAAUACAUGCAAGUCGAGCGAGAAAGUCUUCGGAUGAGUACAGCGGCGCACGGGUGAGUAACGCGUAGGUACCUGCCUUGAAGUGGGGAAUAACAUCGGGAAACCGGUGCUAAUACCGCAUAUGAAGGUGACUUCAAAGGGGGGUAGCAAUACCUCUCGCUUUAAGAUGGGCCUGCGUGGCAUUAGGUAGUUGGUGGGGUAAUGGCCUACCAAGCCGACGAUGCCUAUCCGGUCUGAGAGGACGAUCGGACACACUGGACCUGAGACACGGUCCAGACUCCUACGGGAGGCAGCAGUAGGGAAUAUUGCGCAAUGGGGGAAACCCUGACGCAGCAACGCCGCGUGAGUGAGGAAGGUCUUCGGAUUGCAAAACUCUUUUAUUAGGGAAAAAUGGUUAUGGAGCUAACACCCCAUGGCUUGAUGGUACCUAAAGAAUAAGGACCGGCUAACUUCGUGCCAGCAGCCGCCGUAA
rnacentral:rRNA from 1 species